UCUCUCCCAUCGUUCCCAUCUCUCUUCUCAAGCGACUGAUAGGCACGCCUCUCCUCGAUCCGCCGGCUUGCUUCUCCGGCGAGCUCCCCCGCCGCUAUAACCUCGUACCCUCCAUUCUCCUCCCCCCUCCCACCUCAUCGACCCUCUCUUUCCCGCUGAAGGCUGCAAGGGGCGGAUGGGUAGAUGCUGCGCCCAGCCACCAUCCCUGCAAACGGCGAGCUCAAGCGAUACCGAUGAUGCAACCAGCUCCGAGGGUUGCUACAACCAGCAUCAUGCGGUGCUACAACCAGCACUGCGGGCAGCUAGAACUGGCUGCUCCAGAGGUGCGACGGCACGCCGCCGUUUGCUGAAACCGGCACUACGGGAAGCUGCAACCAGCUUUGUGAAUAGCUGCAACCAGUAGUCUGCGGUGCUACGACCAGCAGAGGGCGGCGAGGAGAGAGGUCGACCACGGCGGCGAGCUAGGGGCGGUGACGCCGUGCUAUGUUGAGCGACGUGAAUUACUGACCCGCGUUUGACGGAGCUGCAUCCGGCAAGGGAUGAUGCUGGAACCACUGCGAGAUGAGGAGGGCGUGCGACGACGAUGGAUUCAAGCAGCGGAGAGAGGCGGCGAGCGGUGGAGAUCCGGCGGAUCAUGUCACUCAUCCAUGGCGCUCGUGCCCCUGUGCGUGCUCGCGUGAUUUGCAGGGGAAAAGAAAAAAAGGAAAGUGUAUGAUAGAGAUGAAAGAGUUGUAAAUUUGAUGGAUAAAAAGUGUUUAAUCUGACGUACAGGGUACGACCGGCCCUAAUUUAGGCCGGUGCACCGGCGCCUAGCGCUGCCCUUUUUGUA